rnacentral:rRNA from 1 species
GAACGCUGGCGGCAGGCCUAACACAUGCAAGUCGAACGCCCUAGCAAUAGGGAGUGGCAGACGGGUGAGUAACACGUGGGAACCUUCCCUAUAGUACGGAAUAGCUCAGGGAAACUUGAAGUAAUACCGUAUACGCCCGAGAGGGGAAAGAUUUAUCGCUAUAGGAUGGGCCCGCGUCGGAUUAGCUAGUUGGUGAGGUAAUGGCUCACCAAGGCGACGAUCCGUAGCUGGUUUGAGAGAACGACCAGCCACACUGGGACUGAGACACGGCCCAGACUCCUACGGGAGGCAGCAGUGGGGAAUAUUGGACAAUGGGCGCAAGCCUGAUCCAGCCAUGCCGCGUGAGUGAUGAAGGCCUUAGGGUUGUAAAGCUCUUUUAGCAGGGAAGAUAAUGACUGUACCUGCAGAAUAAGCUCCGGCUAACUUCGUG